AGAAACGUGACGGAUGAAUGGUGGAACGAGAGUGAAUGGUUGAGUGAAAGGCGAAUCAUGGAGAAUGAAGAAGAGAGGAAGAGAGGAAGAAUGGUUCAAUGAUUAUGGUGUACUACAACGAGAGUGAGGAAGAGAGGGAGGGAAGAUAAAUUAGGUCCAGCGUGAAUAUGAGAUAGCUAGAUUGAGAGGGAAAAUGAGAAAAUCAGAGAGAUAUAUUAUGACUGGUUUCUAAAAAUCAGUUAUAAACAUUUAAAUAUUUUCAACUUUAUGAUAGGUCUCGAUAACUCCGUAAUAAUAAGUUUUGAACUUAUUUACAAGUUUGUUACCACGUUUCAUAUUAUGACUGAUGUCCAUAACUAUGUAAUAAUAUGUUUUAAUUUUUUUUACAAGUUUGCCACCGCGUUUCAUAUAUGUAAAAGACUACAUCAUAA
rnacentral:lncRNA from 1 species